AUUCUGGCUCAGGAUGAACGCUGGCGGCGUGCUUAACACAUGCAAGUCGAACGGGAUCCAUCAAGCUUGCUUGGUGGUGAGAGUGGCGAACGGGUGAGUAAUGCGUGACCGACCUGCCCCAUACACCGGAAUAGCUCCUGGAAACGGGUGGUAAUGCCGGAUGCUCCAGUUGAUCGCAUGGUCUUCUGGGAAAGCUUUCGCGGUAUGGGAUGGGGUCGCGUCCUAUCAGCUUGACGGCGGGGUAACGGCCCACCGUGGCUUCGACGGGUAGCCGGCCUGAGAGGGCGACCGGCCACAUUGGGACUGAGAUACGGCCCAGACUCCUACGGGAGGCAGCAGUGGGGAAUAUUGCACAAUGGGCGCAAGCCUGAUGCAGCGACGCCGCGUGAGGGAUGGAGGCCUUCGGGUUGUAAACCUCUUUUAUCGGGGAGCAAGCGAGAGUGAGUUUACCCGUUGAAUAAGCACCGGCUAACUACGUGCCAGCAGCCGCGGUAAUACGUAGGGUGCAAGCGUUAUCCGGAAUUAUUGGGCGUAAAGGGCUCGUAGGCGGUUCGUCGCGUCCGGUGUGAAAGUCCAUCGCUUAACGGUGGAUCCGCGCCGGGUACGGGCGGGCUUGAGUGCGGUAGGGGAGACUGGAAUUCCCGGUGUAACGGUGGAAUGUGUAGAUAUCGGGAAGAACACCAAUGGCGAAGGCAGGUCUCUGGGCCGUUACUGACGCUGAGGAGCGAAAGCGUGGGGAGCGAACAGGAUUAGAUACCCUGGUAGUCCACGCCGUAAACGGUGGAUGCUGGAUGUGGGGCCCGUUCCACGGGUUCCGUGUCGGAGCUAACGCGUUAAGCAUCCCGCCUGGGGAGUACGGCCGCAAGGCUAAAACUCAAAGAAAUUGACGGGGGCCCGCACAAGCGGCGGAGCAUGCGGAUUAAUUCGAUGCAACGCGAAGAACCUUACCUGGGCUUGACAUGUUCCCGACGGUCGUAGAGAUACGGCUUCCCUUCGGGGCGGGUUCACAGGUGGUGCAUGGUCGUCGUCAGCUCGUGUCGUGAGAUGUUGGGUUAAGUCCCGCAACGAGCGCAACCCU
rnacentral:rRNA from 1 species